GAUGAACGCUGGCGGCGUGCCUAAUACAUGCAAGUCGAGCGAACGGACGAGAAGCUUGCUUCUCUGAUGUUAGCGGCGGACGGGUGAGUAACACGUGGAUAACCUACCUAUAAGACUGGGAUAACUUCGGGAAACCGGAGCUAAUACCGGAUAAUAUUUUGAACCGCAUGGUUCAAAAGUGAAAGACGGUCUUGCUGUCACUUAUAGAUGGAUCCGCGCUGCAUUAGCUAGUUGGUAAGGUAACGGCUUACCAAGGCAACGAUGCAUAGCCGACCUGAGAGGGUGAUCGGCCACACUGGAACUGAGACACGGUCCAGACUCCUACGGGAGGCAGCAGUAGGGAAUCUUCCGCAAUGGGCGAAAGCCUGACGGAGCAACGCCGCGUGAGUGAUCAAGGUCUUCGGAUCGUAAAACUCUGUUAUUAGGGAAGAACAUAUGUGUAAGUAACUGUGCACAUCUUGACGGUACCUAAUCAGAAAGCCACGGCUAACUACGUG
rnacentral:rRNA from 1 species